GGACUGCUCGGGGUUAGGCUGGGCAUCGGUCAGCGAGUGGAUCCUCAGAUGUAUCUCAUCAGGUCCCAUGGACAUGUGAAGCUUUAGGUUCCUUAGCUGGUCUAGAACCUGAUCUUCUCCUACAGUGGGAAUCUCAUCAUUCUCCCAGUGCCUUUGCCUUCUGGGACUUGUGCCAAGCCAACUGUCUCAAGGAAAUUUCCAUCAGAAGUUGCUGGGAGGUAAUCAACUACAGAAACAUUAAAACCAGCUAAGUACCUUCCCAAGAAAAUGAUUACAUCAAAAAUUGUAAUGCCAGAAUGCACAAUAUGAAUGGACUCUAGCAUUCAUCCUGAAAGAAUUAGCUGUUCAAAAGUUUACAGUCAAAAGGUAUAAUUAGAACAAGCAACCCAGAUCCAUCAGCAACCAUUAGCAGAGAUACCUCAGAAGAACAAGAGAAAUGAAGAGACUGCUUUGUUAUCUCUAUUCUGCAAUCAUUGAGAGAUCCUAUUGGGACUUCAACCCUUUAAUUCAGAUUAUUUCUGAAAUCGAAGAAUACUGUAAAGUCACUAAAAUCUGUUUUAUUCUUCUAAUGACAUUCCUCAGCUGUCUAAAGAUGCCUUAUAUUUACACUAUUGUAUAAUGUUUAAGCUCUGCAAGCCCUGGUGAAUUAAAUAAA